rnacentral:misc_RNA from 1 species
GAUGAAGAACGCAGCGAAAUGCGAUACGUAAUGUGAAUUGCAGAAUUCAGUGAAUCAUCGAGUCUUUGAACGCACAUUGCGCCCCCUGGUAUUCCGGGGGGCAUGCCUGUCCGAGCGUCAUUGCUGCCCUCAAGCACGGCUUGUGUGUUGGGCCUCCGUCCUCCUCCCGGGGGACGGGCCCGAAAGGCAGCGGCGGCACCGCGUCCGGUCCUCGAGCGUAUGGGGCUUCGUCACCCGCUCUUGUAGGCCCGGCCGGCGCUUGCCGACACAUCAAUCUUUUUUCCAGGUUGACCUCGGAUCAGGUAGGGAUACCCGCUGAACUUAAGCAUAUCAGUAAGCGGAGGA